CUACGGGGUGCACCAGUGAGGAAUCUUCCGCAAUGGGCGAAAGCCUGACGGAGCGACACCGCGUGAAGGAUGAAGGCCUUUUGGUUGUAAACUUCUUUUCUGGGGGAAUAAAUGAUGAAGGUACCCCAGGAAUAAGCACCGGCUAAUUACGUGCCAGCAGCCGCGGUAAUACGUAAGGUGCAAGCGUUAUCCGGAAUUAUUGGGCGUAAAGCGUUCGUAGGUGGUUUAGAAAGUUUGUAGUUAAAUCUGGUCGCUCAACGAUCAACUCGCUACAAAAACUUCUAAACUAGAGAUUGGCAGAGGUAACUGGAAUUCCACAUGUAGGGGUAAAAUCCGUUGAUAUGUGGAGGAACACCAAAAGCGAAGGCAGGUUACUGGGCCAUUUCUGACGCUGAGGAACGAAAGCGUGGGGAGCAAACAGGAUUAGAUACCCGAGUAGUC
rnacentral:rRNA from 1 species